CCCCCUUGCAAUGGGCAAAGAGAUACCUUGUUGGCGGUAGUGUUCUAAUAUCAGCCAGGGGCAGAGAAGAUGCCAGUCCUUUUUUUAUCCUAGCUUGAUACCUGGCUUGGUGGCCAAAGCUGUUUUAUGCCUAUGAUAAAAGU